CAAGUUUGAGUAAAAAAUAUUGAGCAAUAGAGUUCAUUGCGGUUUUAAUCUUUCCAAUGGAAAAAAUAAUCAUCAAAAUCGGACUACUCUACGAGGGCAUUAGAGAUCUUAUCGCAAUGCAUAUUUUUAAGUAAAAACCGCGUUGGUAUCGGGCACUUUGGUAAUUAUGAUCAAGUUCAUACACACUUGAAACACUAAGUAAUGUUUGUUAAUUUUCAAAGGAAUAUUUUGUAUUUGAAAUCACGUGAGCUCAUAUUGGAG